rnacentral:rRNA from 1 species
GACGAACGCUGGCGGCGUGCCUAAUACAUGCAAGUAGAACGCACAGUUUAUACCGUAGCUUGCUACACCAUAGACUGUGAGUUGCGAACGGGUGAGUAACGCGUAGGUAACCUGCCUGGUAGCGGGGGAUAACUAUUGGAAACGAUAGCUAAUACCGCAUAAUAUUGAUUAUUGCAUGAUAAUUAAUUGAAAGGUGCAAUUGCCCCACUACCAGAUGGACCUGCGUUGUAUUAGCUAGUAGGUGAGGUAACGGCUCACCUAGGCGACGAUACAUAGCCGACCGGAGAGGGUGAUCGGCCACACUGGGACUGAGACACGGCCCAGACGCCUACGGGAGGCAGCAGUAGGGAAUCUUCGGCAAUGGACGAAAGUCUGACCGAGCAACGCCGCGUGAGGGAAGAAGGUUUUCGGAUCGUAAAGCUCUGUUGUAAGAGAAGAACGGGUGUGAGAGUGGAAAGUUCACACUGUGACGGUAUCUUACCAGAAAGGGACGGCUAACUACGUG